rnacentral:lncRNA from 1 species
GUGUUCAUGUUGGCGCGCGACAACAUGAAACCUAGUGAUGAGAAUAGGCACCCUUGUAUGACUUUCGCCUGAUUCGAGUCACGUUGUCUAGUAGUUGCGACGAGAUUAACGGGUUAAUGGUGAUUAACCAAGUUGUUGCGUUUCAGGAGCUAUGGCACCAAAGAGACGCCCCGUGACUAGACCCAUUCUGGCACCACCGCCCGAGGUGCCCGAGCAGUCUGGAUCUGAAGAAGUGCGGGAAUUACGAGCACAGAUCGCUUCGAUGGUUGGCGCGAUGCAGUGCCAGGAGGACCAGAUAGCGAGGCUUCAAGAGUUGGUGGCGCAGCAGGCGUCGGCUCACGCAGAGGCGGAGCGACCCGUGCCUCCUGUUGUUGCGUCAGGCGUGACGGAGGGUAUGGCUACGGCAGUCGUGCCGGUUGCGGUGCAACCCGUGCCGGUGAUGGUGGCUGCCGGUUCGGGAACGUUAAAUCCCGAAGAUGU